CACACUCAGAUAAAGUAGGCACUUUUUGGUUCUUGAAAUGCUACCUAGUCUGAGUGAGUGA
ensembl:miRNA